rnacentral:rRNA from 1 species
CCUACGGGAGGCAGCAGUGGGGAAUCUUGCACAAUGGGCGAAAGCCUGAUGCAGCGACGCCGCGUGCGGGACGAAGGCCUUCGGGUUGUAAACCGCUUUCAGCAGGGACGAGGCGAUAAGUGACGGUACCUGCAGAAGAAGCCCCGGCUAACUACGUGCCAGCAGCCGCGGUAAUACGUAGGGGGCGAGCGUUAUCCGGAUUCAUUGGGCGUAAAGCGCGCGUAGGCGGCCUGUUAGGUCGGGAGUUAAAUCCGGGGGCUCAACCCCCGUCCGCUCCCGAUACCGGCGGGCUUGAGUCUGGUAGGGGAAGGCGGAAUUCCCAGUGUAGCGGUGGAAUGCGCAGAUAUUGGGAAGAACACCGGUGGCGAAGGCGGCCUUCUGGGCCACGACUGACGCUGAGGCGCGAAAGCUAGGGGAGCGAACAGGAUUAGAUACCCCUGUAGUC